rnacentral:lncRNA from 1 species
UGAUGGCGAUGGCGGGGGCUUAUAAUGAGUUGGCGGUGGAGGUGAAGGCAAUGGAGGUGGGGGCGAAUAUUCUACACAUGGUGGCGGUGGAGGGGGAGGUGGUUCUAUACAAGGGGGUGGGGAUGGAGGUGGUGGCAAAUGGACUGGUGGAGGUGGCGGGGGAGAUUGGUAUGGAUAAAUAGGAGGUGGGGGUGAAUGUGGCGGUGGAGGUGGUUCUAUACAAGGGGGUGGGGAUGGAGGUGGUGGUGAAUGGACUGGUGGAGGUGGCGGGGGAGAUUGGUAUGGAUAAAUAGGAGGUGGGGGUGAAUGUGGCGGUGGAGGUGGUGGUGAGCUAUAAAUGUAAGGGUUUGGCGGUGGUGAGGAGUACAGUGGAGGAGGUGGUGGAGGAGAAUUUGGCGGAGGUGGUGGAGGGCGGACACAAUACGGUGGUGGUGGAGAAGAGUAAACAGGAGGGGGCGGGGGUGAUGGUGAUGGAGGAGGAGGCGGAGGCAAGUAUACAG